GAGGGGGCACAGAAUAGGGACCCACGCGGUUUCUAGCAGCCGGCGGACGGGGAGCAAGCGGCCGCCAGGGACACCUGCCCUUCCUCCCUCCUCCUCCCUCCCUCCCUCCCUCCCUCCUUCCUCCUCCUCCUCCUCCUCCUCCUCCUCGCCCAGCCCCGCCGGACCCCCGCAGCAGCCGUGAGAGGCAGCCUGUCUGAUCCCCAUCAAAUGCUGACAGCUUCCCUCUCCCGUCUGCUCCACCGGGACUGUCUGCCGUCACGUGCCUGGAGGCACCAGAGCUGCUUGCUGCAGUCCCAUGGUGGAUCCCCAGCUCUCAGGCACUUCCCUGGCAGGUCUCCUUCCUGCUGGCUUUGGGCAGUAUCUGCCACUUCACCCGCUGCAGCUCCGCCAGCCAAGUGUCCCAGAGAGGUUUCCUCUGGCAAUGCCUUCCAGCAGCUGCAGGGCCACAGAGGCUCCUUAGGGGACGUGUCUCACCUCAGCCCAGCUACCUGCUGGUGGUGACCACUGUGAAGAACUUUCAGGCCUUCUCUGAAGUCCCAGGGGAGAGUGAUGUGCUACAAGACAGGUGCACCAGAGACCGAGGUCAGGGAGUGACAGAAGUCUGUCCAGGCUUCCCUCCCACACUGUGAGCUGCUGGAGACUGCCUGUAGAAGAAAUGCUAUUUGAGUUUGUACCCACAGAAGGAAGAAUUAAUGGACCAUUCAGAAGGAAACAAUCUCUGUGAGGAAAGAUGCAAAUCAAUCAUCUGUGAGUGGCUGAUGUCCUCACACAGUCACUUGUGCUGGGCAGCCUACGGGGAUGGAAGAAUACCCCUCUCUGCUGACCUGCUUCAUCCUGAGGAAGGGAGUUUGCCAUUGCCCACUGGGUGGAGUUGUCUUCCCUCCUAUCCUACCCCUCAGACCAGGAUUGUUCCUCUGUCAGCCUUGCCCUCCAGCAUACUCCAGGCUUGGAAUGAAAGGCAAGGAAAAAGUUAGAGGAAAAGUCUCACUGGGGGCAGAGAGAGCACCUGGAGAGACCAGGGACUGACAGAAAUGUUAGUGGCUGUAAUAACCACCUAGGAUUCACAGACCACUUAAAAGGAAUGCAGAACAAGCAUUUGCAAAAGAUGAAAUUUGCUCCUUUCCCCGUGAAGUGCAGGUGAGCUGGCAGUUGUAAAAAAAUCUGCAGAUGUUCUUGAGGAAAAAGAAAAAUUUGUCAGUGGGUUCGAGAAAAUGCUUAUACUGGUCUUGGGACAUCAGGAUGACUCUCCUGGUACAGAUUGUUGGUUCAGGAGCAAAACCUACAUAAGCUGUGAUAUAAGCUGGUCCUGCUCCACUUCUGUUGGGCACACUCCCAUGAGAGCUGGAUGGCACGAUCAUAAGCAUUUGUCUCCUGGACACAUGUAACGCAAAGAGCUCUUCUGCAGAAAAAGGCAGAUGACUGCAGAUCUCAAGGGAACAAAUUUUGCCUCAGGUUUUUAAACAUUAAACUCAUAGCCUUUCGAUCUGGGGCAGUCCACUGUGACACUACAGGGUUUUUUUCUGUUAGUCUCUACAUUCCUCCCCUGCCGCCCAUUUGUAGCCCACCAUUCCCAUCACAGCUGGGCUGUUUUAGAAGAUUUUCAGAAGGCUUUAGUAAAAAGUAUAUGUUAACUCUUUAAAACCCUAUCUGGCCUGGAAAGAUGCUCUGGCAUGGGACCCUCAGGCAGACUGCGGUUGCUUGCUAGCUCUCAGCUUGCUUGUGAGCACAGACAACUUUCUUAUCAGCACUUCUCUCUUCAGCUCCCACUCAGGGUAACAGGCACAACUGUAUUUCCCUUCACUUGUUCUUUUCACAGCAGUUCUACAUAAGACUGUAAGCUCCAUGGUAUGUAUGCUAUCUUUUACAGUCCCACAAAAAUUUGGCUGUCUCACUGUUACAGUUACACACGCCCCCAACACAACAGUGCUGGCAGACCUCCUUGAAGUCAUUACCUGCACCGUGCUUUGGAUCAAGGCCUAAUGAACUGCAAUUAUUUGAGGAGGAGCUUAUUAUUAAGCUGACAUCUUUAUCACUAGACCAAAUCCUUCAGUUCUUUACUGAGGCAAAACCCUCCCAGUUGCAGUCAGUAAAAUCUGUAGGCUGUAGCUGCAUGCUGCAUGUCUGAAGCAAAGCAUAAUAGUUUAAUUACCUCUUGAAUUGGUAUGUAACUCCUAAUAGGUGCCAUCUAUCAGUACAGAAAUGGAAACAAGGACUGAAAUGUUAACAUUGCUUAGUUUAGUUCUGUUGAGGUGAAAUAUCCAAACAGCUUUUCUCCUUGGAGAAGAGACCUCAGCAUUACCAAGGCAGGGGUUGUUGAUUUGAAGCCAUGGACUUCCUUCUUUUAAUCAGUGUAAUCAGUGAUGAGUAGAUAAUGAACAAAUGCAUCCAGCUGCAAAUUUCACAUAAUAUGUGGUCCACAAGCCUUUGGAACACAAAUACUGUAAAAAAACAGUUUGAAGCAGGUUUGCUGCAAGCAGAGACCAGCGGAACUCUGCACGCUGUCAGGACCUCACGGCCCACUGCUAUGUGCAGUACUGUGCGUUAGAGUACUAGACCUUCUUGGAGAGAUACAGUACUUGGGUAAAUCUCAUCCCUAUGGUCUGAUCCUGCAAACAAGAUAUGGUAUGUAAAUUUAAGAUACCCAAUUAGAAGGUACCACAAAGUGAUACACAAAUACUGAUUAGUAAAUAGCAGCCCUGCAAGGAUUUUAGUCUGGAGCUUGUUUGUAGCUAGACUGAAUUAAUUGGCUUUACAUUGCAAUUCUGGAAGUUCAGCAUAUGCUUUUCUAUGUGAAUAGUCCCUUUGAAAUCACUGGGAACAACUAUCGAGGUUGUAGCAAGCUUCAUGUCUGCCACUGAUCUGAAGCCCACUGCCGAUGUUUACACAGAGCAUGAUUUUUUAAAUUGCAUACUUUCAUUGACUUUGAUAGGAUUAUUUGCCCCAAGUCAUGGUGAGUUGUUUGUAUGAUCUGGGAUUUAACCUCCUAAGGGAAGUCUCCUUUUCAAUUCCUUCCCCUUUUCCAGCUCUACAAAUUUCUCCUUGGAUUAGGCAUUUCUACCUGCUGUGAAAUGUAUUGUCCACCCACAGUUACAUCUGAAAAAUGACAAUAGAGAAGACAGAGUGUGUUAUCCUGUGCUUGAGAACCUCUGUAGAAAUGUGGAGUGACAGCAGGAUGACUGCAGCUGAUGGCAAAAGAUAAGGUAUGGUUAUGAAGCUGCAUAGCUAGCAAAUGAUUUCAAAAGUUUGGGUUUGAAUCUUUUUUCCUUUUGGGCUCUAUUGCUGGCACUAAGCUUUUGGUUCAUAAUGAAAAACAAUAUAUAUUUAGUCCUAAUUACAGUCUAUCACUUCAUUAUGUUAGUAAUUUUGAUUACUUUGCUACUUGAAUCAGCACAAGGAUAGAGUCAAAAUAUCAUUUGGAAUAGAGGACUAGGAAAAUAACUCUCCCAAGAAGCUAGUAUGUUGGGUAAAAAUAUGUUGUUGUAUUGGCUGUAAUCAGUAACACCCAAAGUGCGAAGGAAGUAAACGCUAUCCCUAUCUGCUGGCAAUGUUGUGCUCUCAGCUGCUGUUAUCAUUUCAAAAUAAUCCUCAUCUGAGUGGAAGAGAAUUCCUUUUCCUUUUCCUUGGAGUGACUGUUGUCCUCCUUCAGUGUGAUGUGUGCCACAGAGGAAGAAACUAAAGGGACUUACUGCAUAUGUUUUUUCCAUCUUACCAAGUCCAGAAAUCAUUUUCAGAGCAAUCCCAUAUAGCCACAAAGCUGUACCCAGUUAAAAGAUUAUUGUGACAUUAUUAUUAGAAAUCGCUGCAGCAACAACUUGCUAAAUGAACUGUUAAAAGCAAACCAGACUCACUGAACCACAAUAAAAUUCAUUAAAGGCUGCUUGGGGCAA